AAAGGUUAAAUUAAUGCAAGAACAAGGUGUAUUAUUGCUAUUUGAGUCCCACUGGGAAGGAAAGAUAAGAAGGCCUGGAAGAAAAAUCAGCACUCUACUCUGCAGUGCCCUUAAACUUUAAAAGAUCUAUAUGGACUUCGCCUCUUUGUUAUAUCUAUAAAUAGGAUAGUUUCUUUUUACUUACACUUUUGCUUUUCAUAUGGAAAAUACAUAUUUGAAAGACCUUUUGACACAUUGUUCCUGAAUUUAUCAAAAACUAUUGUGUACUGAUAGACUGACAGAUAAACUUGAGGUAGUCAGGGAGAGAGAAAUUAACUAAAACGUGAUAUUUGAGUGAAAAUUAAUUUUAUAAGCUUUUGGUUCACUGGAGAGUACUUUUGUAGUAUAAUGAUUUUUGAUUUCGUAUGUAGACAUUUACCUGUGGGGAUAUGGAUAAUCAUUCUUGGAUAAGGAGAAUUCUUUUUCCUGAUAAUAAUCACAUUAAGGAGCAUGGGCAGCACUAUAGUUUUUACUCUUGGACUCUAUCUUUAUCGCUUGAGCUAUAAACACAGAGGAAGUUUUAGGUGAGUGUAUAUCACGUGGGUAUAAGACAAAGGAGUUAGAUUCAGACAUUGUUUUAAAAAUAUUGAAAUAAUAUUUGAAAAUCCCCGUCUAAUUAAGAAGACUGUGUUAGUGUCUUCAGGCUGCCGUAACAAAAUACCACAGACUAGGCGGCUUAAACAACAGUAUUUUAUUUCUUACAGUUUGGGAGGCUGGGAAAUCCAAGAUCAAGGUGCCAGUGAAUUUGGUUCUUGGUGAGGUCUCUCUCCCUGGCUCUUGUAAGGUCAUCAGUCCUAUCAGAUUAGGGCCCUGCCCUUAUGACCUCAUUUAACUACCUCCUCAAGUCCCUACCUGCAAAUACAGUCACGUUGGGGGGUUAGGGCUUCAACAUACGACUUUCGGGGGAACACAAACAUUCAGUCCAUAACAAACAUCAUUCACUUAAAAAA